AACAAACGCUGGCGGCGUGCCUAAUACAUGCAAGUCGAACGGGGAAAGCUUUCGGGUGAGUACUAGUGGCGCACGGGUGAGUAACGCGUGGAUAAUCUGCCUUAGAGUGGGGGAUAACUAGUCGAAAGAUUAGCUAAUACCGCAUAAGACCACAAGAACUGCGGUUCAAGGGGUCAAAGGUUUUUCGCUCUAAGAUGAGUCCGCGUAAGAUUAGCUAGUUGGUAGGGUAACGGCCUACCAAGGCGACGAUCUUUAACUGGUCUGAUGGGAUGAUCCGUCACACUGGAACUGAGACACGGUCCAGACUCCUACGGGAGGCAGCAGUAGGGAAUAUUGCACAAUGGAGGAAACUCUGAUGCAGCGACGCCGCGUGAGUGAUGAAGGCCUUCGGGUCGAAAAGCUCUGUCGCAGGGGAAUAACACAAUGAAGGUACCCUGUAAGAAAGGAUCGGCUAACUUCGUGCCAGCCGCCGCAGUAACAC
rnacentral:rRNA from 1 species